rnacentral:lncRNA from 1 species
CUGGAGACCAGGAAACUCCCCGAAGCCUCAGGUCUCAAGACAUGGCUUUGAGCAAACUACAGAUGUGCUUCCUUUCAUCUUGAAAUCCAGCCUGGGAGCAAGCUGUGAGCCUACUGCCUUCCCUCUCCCACCUGCAGCUCCCGGGCCCUGUGCACAUUUGUUUAUCUGGAUGCUUGCUGAGUGCACACCAUGCUCACCUGUCUGGUCAUCUAUUUCCUAGAAGCUUUGGGGGCCAGAUCCUGGGACGAACCAGGCAUCUCCAGAAUUCCUUCCCCAGCAGGCGGGUUACUUUGAGGCCAGAGCUUACUCCUGGCUAAAGACUCACUGCAAGAUUGACUGUGAUUGAUUUCUAAUCUGGGGGCGACCCGCGAUGGCGCAGCCCCUUCACCAGAUGUGUUUGUGGUGGAAGUUAUCCAAGUGACACGGCACCAAAACCUGUGAUCGGUGGCAAAUCCGUACAGGUCUGCGGCAGCCGCAAUUCUCACCUCCUCAGAAGAAAGAAUUCGACCAAGGGGCAGAAGGCAGAAGAAGAGACCGAGACAAGUUUUAGAGCAGGAGUGACAUUUAUUAAAAAGCUUUAGAGCAGGAAUGAAAGGAAGGAAAGGACGCUUGGAAGGGGGCCAAGCAGGUGACUUGAAGGACAGGUGUGUGGUUUGACCUUCGACUUGGGGUUUUAUAUGUUGGCACGCUUCCGGGGUCUGGCCUGCCUUCUCCCCUGAUUCUUCCCUUGGGGUGGGCUGUCCACAUGUGCAGUGGCUGCCAGCCCUUGGGAGGAGCACGCGCUAUGUGUUUACUGGAGUUGCGCGCCUGCUUACCUGAGGCGUUGUUCCCUUACCUGUCAAAUGUCCCUAGGAGGCCAUAGACCAGUUACACUCCACAAUUUUGCCUUUUAAUACACAUGCUUGAGCCCACUCACCCAAUGCCUGAGGUCUUAUGGGGAAGGAUUUUUCUGUCUGUUGGGAGGCUGCCUUUCCCUGGCGUUGGCUGUGACCAAUUAUUAUUUUAGAGAGACAGUUAACAGCCACCCGACCAACACUGAUGGUCGCCUGACAUUCCUGGUUGGGAGGGCCCUCUCCUGCCCUGCUCAUGUCUGACCAGCUGCCUACUGUAACAGAUGGAACAAUAACUCAAGAGAAGCCAUCAGAGCAGGUCACCUGGCACCUCCUGGCCCCUGCCUCGCCUGCAUUCCAGACCCCCUCUACACGUCCCUCUACAAAUUGAAGAGUGGCCAUUUUUGGAAAGGAUUCCGGCCAAUCUCCCCCUUGCUAGCAUGAGAAUGAAGCUCACGCUCUUUCUUUUUUCUUUCUUUUCUUUUUUUUUUUGAGACGGAG